GAAGUGUAGACUAUUAUCCUCAGUCCUGUACUCUUUCUUUGCAUUUCUAGUUAUGGAAUGGAGAUGCACAUGAUCUGAAGGUAACCAGUCACAGAACCUGAGCAACGGUAUGAAGCUGUGACAGAAGAGGGUCAGGUUGAGUGUCAGGAAAAAGUUCUUCUCUGAGUGUGUGUUCAGGCACUGGAACUGGCUCCCCAGAAAUUGUAUUGUGUUUGGAACAGAAGUAAUGUGAAGCACAAAUUCUGAAGAGCAGAAGGAUGAUUUUCAAAUAAAAUAAUAUUUUGUUAACAGGCUGAAAAAGAAAUAUGCCGUUGUUCUGUCUCUGUUGCAAAGUCAAUUCUCUUAAUCUCCUUAGUUGAUAUUCACUUCAAUUAGGUAAUAGAUUUAUGCACCCCCCCCCCUCCCCAGAG
ensembl:lncRNA